GAUGAAGAACGCAGCGAAAUGCGAUAAGUAGUGUGAAUUGCAGAAUUCAGUGAAUCAUCGAAUCUUUGAACGCACAUUGCGGCCAUAGGCAUUCCUUUGGCCAUGCCUGUUCGAGCGUCAUUUACACCCUCAAGCCUAGCUUGGUGUUGGGCGUCUGUCCCGCCGUUCUCGCGCGCGGACUCGCCUCAAAGUCAUUGGCGGCGGUCGUGCCGGCCCCCUCGCGCAGCACAUUUGCGCUUCUCGGAGGCCCGGCGGAUCCGCGCUCCAGCAAGACCUUUCACGACUUGACCUCGGAUCAGGUAGGGAUACCCGCUGAACUUAAGCAUAUCAAUAAGCGGAGGA
rnacentral:misc_RNA from 1 species